UACAGAGGGGGCAAGCGUUGUUCGGAAUUACUGGGCGUAAAGGGCGCGUAGGCGGCCUGCUAAGUCGAACGUGAAAUCCCCGAGCUCAACUCGGGAACUGCGUCCGAUACUGGCAGGCUUGAAUCCGGGAGAGGGAUGCGGAAUUCCAGGUGUAGCGGUGAAAUGCGUAGAUAUCGAGAGGAACACCAGUGGCGAAGGCGGCUCACUGGGCACCACCUGACGCUGAGGCGCGAAAGCGUGGGGAGCGAACCGG
rnacentral:rRNA from 1 species